GGAGCGGGAGCCCGGAGAUGGGUACUGAGACAAGGACCCAGGCCCUACGGGGCGCAGCAGUCGCGAAACCUUUGCAAUACACGAAAGUGUGACAGGGCUAUCCCGAGUGCCAUCCGCUGAGGAAGGCUUUUACCCAGUCUAGAACGCUGGGGGAAUAAGGAGAGGGCAAGUCUGGUGUCAGCCGCCGCGGUAAUACCAGCUCUCCGAGUGGUGUGGAUGUUUAUUGGGCCUAAAGCAUCCGUAGCUGGCUAGGUAAGUCCCUUGUUAAAUCCACCGAAUUAAUCGUUGGAUCGCGGGGGAUACUGCUUGGCUAGGGGACGAGAGAGGCAGACGGUAUUUUCGGGGUAGGGGUGAAAUCCUAUAAUCCCGGGAAGACCACCAGUGGCGAAGGCUGUCUGCU
rnacentral:rRNA from 1 species